UGCUCUCUCCCCCUUUCCUCUGGCCGCAGGCGGAUGACAAGACCCAAGGACCUGGAGGAGCCACACAACUGAAAGGGAUGAGGUUCCUGAAUCACUACACGGAGGGAAGCGCCCACUGAUUAGAAACAUCUGCCUGUUUCAUAAGGAUAAGUAAAGAGGGAAUGGAUGCCACAUGGUGCAGCUGCCUAAAAGCUAAGAAGGGGUCAUGGGGUAACAGGAAAUGCCAAAGAAAAACAAUAAUUGGCAUAAAGAUUGAGGCCCAGAAGAGGAAAAGGAAGUGACAAAGAUCACCCAGAAAGAAGGUUCCAACUGCAGCUUGACUUCAGGUGAUGUAGCUCCCACCUGGCCAGGUAUCUUUUCCAGUAUACCAACAUAACUAGAGAAAUUUUUAUGCCUUAACUCAGUCACCAUAAAGACUCAAUGG
rnacentral:lncRNA from 1 species